rnacentral:lncRNA from 1 species
UACCCUUUCCUCGUUCUUGUGUGUUUGAUAAGUUUCCUUAAGUUUCAUAUAAGGUAUGAUAAAAAGUUUUAGAUGUAUGUGUUUUAUGUUAUGUGUUGGAGCAUUUUGCUUGAAUGUUAUGUGUACUGGGUAUACACGCUGCUCACAGAGUCCAGAGAGGGUGUCAGAGUCCCUGUAACUGGAGUUACAGAAGGCUGUGAGGAGCUGUAUGGUUUUGGGGAACUGAACUCAGGUCCUCUGGAAGAGAAAUCAGUGCUUUCAGUUGGUGAGCUCUUUCUCUCCAGCUCCUUAGACGAUUCUAAUAUCCCUUGUGUUCAUAUGAUGCCGACCUAUUUUGGUAAAAUGUACAGGCUUUGGUUGUAAGCCUAGCCUUUAAUGGCAAAGGCAUCUCUCCAGUCCAAUCCUCUUUACUUUUACGAAGUUACUUAUCAGUCUGUGUUGGACAGAUGGUGUUGUCUAUGGUGUUGUCUAUGUGCCCGCUGUGCUCACACUGGAAAAGAAUUCCAGUGCUUCACACUUUGCAGGGCUUUGUCUGGCAGGGCACAGCCCAUUUUGAAAAGCACUCAUUCACGCAUUAUGAAAUAACCUGGAGCAUGGUACAACCUGACCUCAACAAAUAUUACAGCAAUGUAUGUACCAAGUGCAUGAAUCAUAAGGCGCAAAACCCAUCACCCAGUUUGACUUUGAUAAUAUCAAAAGCAGACAGACCGUUGAUCUCAGGGGACACGUGUGAGAACAGCAGCCUCUUUAGAGGGGCAAUGGCAAGGUUCAGAAUGCUAAUUUUUUGCAAGUGGCAAGUGCUGACCCAGGGGUGCCCUGGUAUAAAACAACCCCAAGCCUUCUCUGAUUCGCACUCAUUCCUGUGUUUCUCCAUAAGGGGUGUCCUCCGAGGGAGUGGCUCAAGUCAUCAGCUGUCAGUCAUAUCAGCCUUCUGUGGUCUGGAAUCCAGAUGUGGCAGAGUUCAGAGUUCUCCAGAUGUGGGA